rnacentral:rRNA from 1 species
GACGAACGCUGGCGGCGUGCUUAACACAUGCAAGUCGAACGGACCCUUUGGGGUUAGUGGCGAACGGGUGAGUAACACGUGGGUGAUCUGCCCUGCACUUUGGGAUAAGCCUGGGAAACUGGGUCUAAUACCGGAUAGGACUACGCACUGCAUGGUGUGUGGUGGAAAGCUUUUGCGGUGUGGGAUGGGCCCGCGGCCUAUCAGCUUGUUGGUGGGGUGAUGGCCUACCAAGGCGACGACGGGUAGCCGGCCUGAGAGGGUGACCGGCCACACUGGGACUGAGAUACGGCCCAGACUCCUACGGGAGGCAGCAGUGGGGAAUAUUGCACAAUGGGCGCAAGCCUGAUGCAGCGACGCCGCGUGAGGGAUGACGGCCUUCGGGUUGUAAACCUCUUUCGCCAGGGACGAAGCGCAAGUGACGGUACCUGGAGAAGAAGGACCGGCCAACUACGUGCCAGCAGCCGCGGUAAUACGUAGGGUCCGAGCGUUGUCCGGAAUUACUGGGCGUAAAGAGCUCGUAGGUGGUUUGUCGCGUUGUUCGUGAAAACUCACAGCUUAACUGUGGGCGUGCGGGCGAUACGGGCAGACUGGAGUACUGCAGGGGAGACUGGAAUUCCUGGUGUAGCGGUGGAAUGCGCAGAUAUCAGGAGGAACACCGGUGGCGAAGGCGGGUCUCUGGGCAGUAACUGACGCUGAGGAGCGAAAGCGUGGGGAGCGAACAGGAUUAGAUACCCUGGUAGUCCACGCCGUAAACGGUGGGUACUAGGUGUGGGUUUCCUUCCUUGGGAUCCGUGCCGUAGCUAACGCAUUAAGUACCCCGCCUGGGGAGUACGACCGCAAGGCUAAAACUCAAAGGAAUUGACGGGGGCCCGCACAAGCGGCGGAGCAUGUGGAUUAAUUCGAUGCAACGCGAAGAACCUUACCUGGGUUUGACAUGCACAGGACGCCGGCAGAGAUGUCGGUUCCCUUGUGGCCUGUGUGCAGGUGGUGCAUGGCUGUCGUCAGCUCGUGUCGUGAGAUGUUGGGUUAAGUCCCGCAACGAGCGCAACCCUUGUCUCAUGUUGCCAGCACGUUAUGGUGGGGACUCGUGAGAGACUGCCGGGGUCAACUCGGAGGAAGGUGGGGAUGACGUCAAGUCAUCAUGCCCCUUAUGUCCAGGGCUUCAUACAUGCUACAAUGGCCGGUACAAAGGGCUGCGAUGCCGUGAGGUGGAGCGAAUCCUUUCAAAGCCGGUCUCAGUUCGGAUCGGGGUCUGCAACUCGACCCCGUGAAGUCGGAGUCGCUAGUAAUCGCAGAUCAGCAACGCUGCGGUGAAUACGUUCCCGGGCCU